rnacentral:rRNA from 1 species
ACGAACGCUGGCGGCGUGCUUAACACAUGCAAGUCGAACGUGAUUUUUGUGGAAAUUCUUUCGGGAAUGGAAAUGAAAUGAAAGUGGCGAACGGGUGAGUAACACGUGAGCAACCUACCUUACACAGGGGGAUAGCCGUUGGAAACGACGAUUAAUACCGCAUGAGACCACAGAAUCGCAUGAUAUAGGGGUCAAAUAUUUAUCGGUGUAAGAAGGGCUCGCGUCUGAUUAGCUAGUUGGAAGGGUAAAGGCCUACCAAGGCGACGAUCAGUAGCCGGUCUGAGAGGAUGAACGGCCACAUUGGAACUGAGACACGGUCCAAACUCCUACGGGAGGCAGCAGUGGGGAAUAUUGCACAAUGGGGGGAAUCCUGAUGCAGCGACGCCGCGUGAGCGAAGAAGGUUUUCGAAUCGUAAAGCUCUGUCCUAUGAGAAGAUAAUGACGUUAUCAUAGGAGGAAGCCCCGGCUAAAUACGUG